rnacentral:tRNA from 1 species
GGGGUUGUGGCUCAGUGGUAGAGCAUUUGCCUAGCAUGCAUGAGGCACUGGGUUCAAUCCCCAGCACCACA